UACAGAGGGGGCUAGCGUUGUUCGGAAUUACUGGGCGUAAAGGGCGCGUAGGCGGUGUGUCAAGUCAGGCGUGAAAGCCCCGGGCUCAACCUGGGAACGGCGCUUGAGACUGGCACGCUCGAGUUCGGGAGAGGAUGGUGGAAUUCCCAGUGUAGAGGUGAAAUUCGUAGAUAUUGGGAAGAACACCGAUGGCGAAGGCAGCCAUCUGGACCGACACUGACGCUGAGGCGCGAAAGCGUGGGGAGCAAACAGG
rnacentral:rRNA from 1 species